rnacentral:rRNA from 1 species
AUGGAUAUGUUUGAUAGACAAGACGAAGAAGAUGAUUUCAAAGGGGCAGAUGAAGGGUCCAGAGCUGAGAUACAAGAUGUUGGGGCAGAGAUCUAUCAGGUUGUACAACAAGAGAAACAAUUACUGGUCUUCCAUAAUGGGAGCGGCAACACAAUUGACCUGAAUGAUUUUGGCAUUCCUCUGUCAGUGUGGGGUAGUCGAGUAUUGUGGACAUUUCGAGGGAGGCUCCGACUCAGCCCAGGAAUUAGUAAUAAGGUGGAUAAUUCACAUCCUUUUCUUUAUCAUGACUGGACUGCUUUGAGGUGGAAUUAUUUGUUGCAAAAAGAGGCUAGAGAAAUUUCUGGGUACACAGAUAAGCUUGGUGAAGUAUCCGAAGAGUGUUGCUUGUAUCUGUUGUCAUUAAAUUCUCAAGGAGGCAAUAUCAUGGACUAUGACUGGGCCACCCAUGCUUCUAAUUAUUGGGUCUGUGAUGGGAUUAUACAAGGAGGCCAUGGUGACGAAGCAUGGGAGGCUGCAGCUGCUCUGCAUCAACACAUAAAUAUAGAGGAUUAUUCGUCUAAUGCACUGCCCUCUUUUGGUCAUGAACUGAAGACUCCUCCUAAACGGUGGAUAUUUUCCAAAGAGAGCUCUGUUGUGCAUCCAGAGUCAACGUCCUUUUUCCUUACUACAGUUGCAAAUCCUUCAUUGAGACACUUACCUUAUGACAUGUUUCAUCAAUCGGACAAACUUUGUGUGCUCAAGUUAUGCCGCUGCACCUUCAAUUUUUCCUCUCCUCCUUUUCAUUGUUGCCACAAGUUAAGAUUCCUUGGAUUAGAUAGUUGCCAGGAUCUACAACCAGAACAAGACAAGAAGCAAGAUAGACAAACAAUGGAUUUUUUUAAGAGCCUAUGGGUGAUAGACAUAUGCAAAACAGAUUGGGAUCUGCCUGCAUCACCAGAGAUAAUAGAGAAGAUGGCUGCAAACAUUAGGGAGGUACAUAUAAAGAAAGGAAGGAUUUGGUGCCACAAUUUUGCAUGGCGACAACUGCAGAGCCUUCACAAGCUUCGAGUGAGUGAGCCCACUUCCCCUUGGCAAACGUGCAAAAUGGAUGAAUUCAUAGACAUGGUGAAGUUGGAGUUCCUUGACUUGACUGGGGAUAGUACAAUUCAAGUUUUGCCAAGUAUGUCAGGGGCAACCAGUCUCAAGAUUUUGGUUCUCGACGGUUGUGUUGGAUUGGAACAUGUUGGCCCCGAAGGACUGCCACCCUCACUUGAAUCCUUCAGCUUGGAUGCACGUGCCACAGAGGAUGAUAAAAAGGAGGCCAAAAUCUCUCGUAUCUCUUUGGCUGGUUGUGCAAGAUUGGUGAACUUCAGAUUGUGUGGAUCACUUCCAAAUCUUGAGGACCUAGAUCUAUCAGGCACAUUGGUCAAAACACUAGACCUCAAAGAUCAGAUGGUGCAGGCUCGAAGACUCCAAAAAAUUAUUCUAUUGGGAUGUAUGCAGCUCCUUUCCAUUCUAUGGCCAAAAAAUGGGAUGCCAAAAGAUACAUUGUUAAGUAUUGAUUGCUCAGUCUGUCAUGUUCAAGCAGAAUUUCAUCAAGCAUAUGCUACUAUAAUGGACAUAAGGUUUCUUCAGACCUUGGUAUUAGAGAGUAAUGUUGACUUAUGCUGGAAGAGUACUAGGUUCCAUUUGAAGCUAUGUGUCCCAGCUUGUAGCAACAAAGUUGAGGAUCAAAGCAAUAAGAAGAACACUAUAAUGGGUCCUCCUCGACCGAAGUCAUUAAUACCCAAUGCUUACAUCACGUACAUGGAUUUUAUUGCUAACAACAUUACUGUUGAUGAUGGCUAUAAUAGUGCACCGCAGUUUCAGCCGUUGGGCUCUCAUGUGGAGAUUGGUGAUGGAAUUAGUUUCACUAGAAUGGAGAGCACACGAGCAAUGAGGGCUACCAUCUUUGUGAUGAACAAGGCCAAGUCGUUGCAUGUGCACGACAAUUCUUCCGUCAGCACUGUCAUCCCGGAACACAUGAUGUCCAAAGAAAAUGAGGAACUUAUAUGGGAACAUCUGGAAUCUUGUCAUGUGGUGAGAUGCCCCAAGAUGCAUACGGUCUUCAAUAUUGUCUGGGGAUAUUGCAAAUUUGAAGAACUAGUUGAGUUUUGGGCGGCUGAUCUCCCGACGACCCAUUGCAUUUGGAGCAAAGAGAGGACACUCAAUGCUGAAGAUAAUCUCUCCUUUGCGAAACUGCAGAGCAUACACCUGUUCUCCUGCCCGAGGCUCACAUUUGUCCUCGUGAUGUCGGUGCUAUACACCUUGAGAAGCUUGGAGACACUUCACAUUUCUUUUUGUGGUGAUCUGAGGAAAGUGUUCCCCGUGGAGCCAGAGAUUCUGACAAGAAUAGCUACGAACCAUAAAGGUGCAUUGGAGUUCCCAAACCUGAAGCGUAUCUACCUGCAUCAACUCUUCAAGCUGCAACAGAUAUGCGAGGCCAAGAUGUUUGCUCCCAAGCUUGAGACCAUCAGGGUAAGGGGAUGUAUAGCAAGCAAGCAAAUUGUUUGA